AGCGAACGCUGGCGGCAGGCCUAACACAUGCAAGUCGAACGGAUCCUUCGGGAUUAGUGGCGGACGGGUGAGCAACAUGUGGGAACGUGCCCUUUGGUUCGGAACAACUCAGGGAAACUUGAGCUAAUACCGGAUGUGCCCUUCGGGGGAAAGAUUUAUCGCCAUUGGAGCGGCCCGCGUCUGAUUAGCUAGUUGGUGAGGUAAAGGCUCACCAAGGCGACGAUCAGUAGCUGGUCUGAGAGGAUGAUCAGCCACAUUGGGACUGAGACACGGCCCAACCUCCUACGGGAGGCAGCAUUGGGGAAUCUUGCGCAAUGGGCGAAAGCCUGACACAGCCAUGCCGCGUGAAUGAUGAAGGUCUUAGGAUUGUAAAAUUCUUUUACCAGGGACGAUAAUGACGGUACCUGGAGAAAAAGCCCCGGCUAACUUCGUGCCAGCAGCCGCCGCCGUAA
rnacentral:rRNA from 1 species